UUUUAAAUUUUACUGUAUUUUAAAAAAAAAUUGUAUUUUUUUUAUAUUUUUUAAUUAAUUUUAAUGUAGUUAAUUAAUCUGGACCGUUGGAUUUGAAAAAUAUUCAAAUCCAAGAGCCCAGGAUCGACCACAUGGCCAUGCGCCAGCAAAUGGCCCGGCUUCUUGGUCAGCCUGUUUUGUGCUAGCCCAGAGACCAGCAUGGGCUGGGUGCCAGGCUGUUGUGCAGGUUGGAGGAUAUGGACAGGGUGAUGGGCUACUAUUUGGACUAAGUGCUGGGCAAAGUCCACUCCGGUGGACUUGCUCUUAAGGUUGUAUAAAGUUAGUCAGGCCGAAUUUUCUUUAUGCUGGGAUAUAUUUAGCAUCAUUAACCUAUUUGAAAACUAGUUUUGCACAAACACAGCAUAAUCUUUGUGAAAGCAUGUAUUUGACCGACAUGUAAAAUAAUUUCUACAUGUUUUAUGUAAAUGGUUAUUACAUAUCUAUGCAUAAUGCUUACGACACAUUUAGUCCCUUAUUCUAAGAUUCUAACACUUAAAUACAAUACUUAUAAUUCAAAUAGUCCUAGAAGAAUAGAAGAUUACUUCAUUUUUUUUGGCUUUGAAUAUGAAUUUCCAAAUUUAAGCCUCAUCAUAUCUAAAUGAGGACAUGAGUGGAAAUUACUCAUGUAUGUCUUGGAUAAUACAUUCACCACCCGUAGCUAAUUAGAAAUGUAGGGUAGAAACGUUCAGCACCAAUCACGAAUGAUGUAUCUAGAACCACCAAUGAAGAGAGAAUUGGAGUGGAGCACAAGGAAUACGCCCCAACCAUCAAAUCUGGUCGAGAGCAUCCCUUGUGCAUCUGUUGACUAUGCUGCCACUUCAUCGCAGCACAUUGGUGAGCAACCUAUUCCAAUUCCAAUUCCCAUUUCAAAUAAUAUGUUGUUACCUCCUUUGGUGCAGGUACCUAAUCGAAUUCCAGGUGGUGGGAGAGUUCACGUUGACUUAUGGAAGCAAAACACCACAAUCAGGAAGGAUCACUAUCCUUUUCCAUUCAAAAAUCCAAAAGUAUGAAGUGUUUCGAGGGGCAGGUUGUGGAGGAAAUACCCCUCCAUGCCGUGGGCCCCAAUGAAGCUUAAAAAUGAGGUAUCGUUCUGCUGGAAGACGUUAAAGCAAGCGCUUCUUGGGAGGCGACCCAUGUGUUCAAAUAAAGAAGACCGAGGAAGCUCCGACUCCAUAACCAGAGUCCAAAUGACAAAGUUGGCAAGAAAGUGCAAUUUGGAGCAUUUUGGAGCAGUUUUGGGCCAAUAAUGGAUAACACAUGCAUGGAGCAAGGUGGAUGGACGUUUUUGAAGUUCAAGAGGCUAGGAAUGUGCUGAAAAAAAUGAAGAAAAUAAAGUCAAGACAAAGAAAAUAAGGAAUCAGCUAAAAAUAAGGAACAUUAUCCAAAACCUUAUCUUAUCCAAACUAACAUUAUCUUAUCUUAUCCUACCUUAUCUUCAGCUGCAAAAGGAGUCCUUAUCCUAUUCUAAAUCCUUCCCAUCUGAAUUUAGGAGUCUUAAUCCAUCUAAACACAUUAAUUCUUUUCCUUGCUGGAAUCUGAUGAGAAGUGUCAUAUUUCCUUGCUAAUUUGGAGUCUUAAUCCUCUUCUUUCACACCCUUGCCGUGCCUUCUCUCUCCCUAUAAAUAUAUUGUGUUGCAGCCCUCAGAAAUCACCCACCAUUCACCACAAAUUCGUCCCAUACAUCCCUCAUACACAUUCAUCCCAUUGUGUCGCAGCUUUGCAAAGAGAAAGGAGAUGAGAACCUUUGUCGUGCCCCUGCCAUUCAAGAUUGGAUUGCUGGAGUGUUCUUAGGUGUUUUCUAUCAUUUAUUUUCAAUGUUUAAUUUAAGUUGUCUUUGUUUAAUUGCAAACAUGAGGAGCUAAACUCGUUUUAGUUAGGGGGAAAUUCAAAGCCAUGAACAUAUUUGCAAUAUGAAUUGAUUACUUCUAGUUGUGAUUUCAUGAAUCGUGAAUGCAAUUUG